GACUGCUAAUACCCAAUGUGCCGAAAGGUGAAACAUUUAUGGCCUGGAGAUGAGCUCGCGUCUGAUUAGCUAGUUGGUGGGGUAAGGGCUUACCAAGGCAACAAUCUGUACCUGGUCUGAGAGGAUGAUCAGCCACACUGGAACUGAGACACGGUCCAGACUCCUACGGGAGGCAGCAGUGGGGAAUUUUCCGCAAUGGGCGCAAGCCUGACGGAGCAAUACCGCGUGGGGGAUGAAGGUUUUUGGAUUGUAAACCUCUUUUAUUUGGGAAGAAUUGAUGACGGUACCUGAUGAAUCAGCAUCGGCUAACUCCGUGCCAGCAGCCGCGGUAAUACGGAGGAUGCAAGCGUUAUCCGGAAUUAUUGGGCGUAAAGCGUCCGUAGGUGGUUAUACAAGUCUGUUGUCAAAGCGUGGGGCUCAACCCCAUACGGGCGAUGGAAACUGUAAAACUUGAGUGCGAUAGGGGUCACAGGAAUUCCCAGUGUAGCGGUGAAAUGCGUAGAUAUUGGGAAGAACACCGGCGGCGAAAGCGUGUGACUGGGUCUGCACUGACACUGAGGGACGAAAGCUAGGGGAGCAAAUGGGAUUAUAUAUCCACCUUUUUUAAAACGGG
rnacentral:rRNA from 1 species